UGGGGAAUCUUGGACAAUGGGGGCAACCCUGAUCCAGCCAUGCCGCGUGAGUGAUGAAGGCCUUAGGGUCGUAAAGCUCUUUCGCCUGUGAAGAUAAUGACGGUAGCAGGUAAAGAAACCCCGGCUAACUCCGUGCCAGCAGCCGCGGUAAUACGGAGGGGGUUAGCGUUGUUCGGAAUUACUGGGCGUAAAGCGCACGUAGGCGGACCCAGAAAGUUGGGGGUGAAAUCCCGGGGGCUCAACCCCGGAACUGCCUCCAAAACUAUUGGUCUAGAGUUCGAGAGAGGUGAGUGGAAUUCCAAGUGUAGAGGUGAAAUUCGUAGAUAUUUGGAGGAACACCAGUGGCGAAGGCGGCUCACUGGCUCGAUACUGACGCUGAGGUGCGAAAGUGUGGGGAGCAAACAGGAUUAGAUACCCUGGGUAGUCCACACCGUAAAACGAUGAAUGCCAGUCGUCGGGUAGCAUGCUAUUCGGUGACACACCUAACGGA
rnacentral:rRNA from 1 species